GAUGAACGCUGGCGGCGUGCCUAAUACAUGCAAGUCGAGCGAACAGACGAGGAGCUUGCUCCUCUGACGUUAGCGGCGGACGGGUGAGUAACACGUGGAUAACCUACCUAUAAGACUGGGAUAACUUCGGGAAACCGGCGCUAAUACCGGAUAAUAUAUUGAACCGCAUGGUUCAAUAGUGAAAGACGGUUUUGCUGUCACUUAUAGAUGGAUCCGCGCCGCAUUAGCUAGUUGGGAGGGUAACGGCUUACCAAGGCAACGAUGCGUAGCCGACCUGAGAGGGUGAUCGGCCACACUGGAACUGAGACACGGUCCAGACGCCUACGGGAGGCAGCAGUAGGGAAUCGUCCGCAGUGGGCGAAAGCCUGACGGAGCAACGCCGCGUGAGUGAUGAAGAUCUUCCGAGCGUAAAACUCUGUUAUUAGUGAAGAACAGAUGUGUAAGUAACUAUACACGGCUUGACGGUACCGAAUCAGAAAGCCACGGCUAACUACGUG
rnacentral:rRNA from 1 species